rnacentral:rRNA from 1 species
GAUGAACGCUGGCGGCGUGCUUAACACAUGCAAGUCGAACGGGAUCGGCUGGAGCUUGCUCCGGCCGUGAGAGUGGCGAACGGGUGAGUAAUGCGUGACCGACCUGCCCCAUACACCGGAAUAGCUCCUGGAAACGGGUGGUAAUGCCGGAUGCUCCAGUUGACCGCAUGGUCCUCUGGGAAAGCUUUUGCGGUAUGGGAUGGGGUCGCGUCCUAUCAGCUUGAUGGCGGGGUAACGGCCCACCAUGGCUUCGACGGGUAGCCGGCCUGAGAGGGCGACCGGCCACAUUGGGACUGAGAUACGGUCCAGACUCCUACGGGAGGCAGCAGUGGGGAAUAUUGCACAAUGGGCGCAAGCCUGAUGCAGCGACGCCGCGUGCGGGAUGACGGCCUUCGGGUUGUAAACCGCUUUUGACUGGGAGCAAGCCCUUCGGGGUGAGUGUACCUUUCGAAUAAGCACCGG